CACUACUGGUUCAACAUCAGGCAGUCCGAGUGGAAAUCCCACUCCCACCCCUUCUUCUUCAACUCCUGCAUCUGGCAAACCAUCUGAAAAGGAGAGCCCUAGUACAACUCUGGGCAGUCCUAGUGGAAGUACCACUCCCACCCCUUCUUCUUCAACUCCUGCUGAUGGUAAGACCCCUACUCAAAAGAAGGAAGAAUCCUAUAGCGGAAUUGCAAGCGGUGAAGGAAGUGAAG
rnacentral:lncRNA from 1 species